rnacentral:lncRNA from 1 species
GCCUCGUCGUCCGAUCGCCGGGGAGCGUGCACCUGCAAAAGAAAGUCCACACUGACCGGAGGCGGCUCCGACGGGGACCCUCCGACGGUCAAGUCAGAGAGGUGACUGGGCAACAGUGAAAUGCAGACAGAGAGCUCUGAGAGGGAGAAAGAGAGAGAGGAGCGAGCCUGCGUAUGUGGGAGAGACGGGCGGAUCGACCCUUUGCACUGUUGCCUUCCCCGGUAUAUAUAGUGGAGCACGGUAUGGCGCCGUCAUUAAUGGCGCGGACAAGUGAGGAACUGUCAACUCACUGUAGGCUGUCAGAGCCGCCGUGAAAACAUCAUGUCGUCGUGUAGCCGUCUAAUCACCAGGGUUGACCCGGCUCUCGGCGGGACAAUACCCCUAGGUAACUGUGCCGCGUGUCCGUGUUAGAGCUGACAA